GACCCGUCUUGAAACACGGACCAAGGAGUCUAACCUGUGCGCGAGCCAUUGAGAUAAUAAAAACUCAAAGGCAAAGUGAAAGCAAAAAUGGUGAGAUCUGUCGUUUAUUUGAUAAAAAUAACACGGCGGCGCAUCAUCGUCACGCCUUAAUUUGGCUUCGGCUAAAGAGGCGCAGACUGAGCGCACAAGUUGGGACCCGAAAGAUGGUGAACUAUGCGAGGCGAGGUCGAAGCCAGAGGAAACUCUGGUGGAGGACUGUAGCGGUUCUAACGUGCAAAUUGAUCGUCGCAGCUUCGUAUAGGGGCGAAAGACUAAUCRAACCAUCUAGUAGCUGGUUCCUUCCGA
rnacentral:rRNA from 1 species